CAUAUAAAUGAAUUACAUGCACUUUUAAGUAAAUAGGUUUCUAUUGGGCGUCAACAACUCUGAUUUCUCCCGAAGCUGUAGUUUCUCUUGACAGUCUUUCCUACUUUACCCUGUGGAUAUACACUCAGGAAUAAUCUGACAUUUUAAAAAAUCCUAACAGUAGGUAGUCUCAAAGACGGGGACCACAUCCAUCUGGUUACACCGGCAAACCGCUGCCCCGCGUCCUGCUGCCUGCCUAGUUAGCUGCUGCCAGCGUGUCUGGCGAUGCCAGCAGUGUUGUAUGCUGAGCUCCAUGCCUCCCAGAGUGAACAUUCAUCCCCUAGGAGGCCGGCUAGCAUUGCCUCUGAGGCUCCUUUUUUUUAAAAGAUAGAAAAACAUAGGACUCUGUUCUCAUUUUUCGGAGGUUUGACUCUUUAUUAUAGAUGAUGGUGUCUUUUGAAGCCAAUCUGAGUCCAUCUCUCUUCAGAAACAAAAAUUAAUUCCAUGAUAUUCUUUAAGGUGUAUUUAUAUACAUGUGUUGACAUGAAUUAUAUUGAUGCAGUUUUAAAUUUCUGAAUUCAGACUGUACUGUGCUGGUACUGCAAAUAAGAGUGAGUAGAGCUAAAUUGGGUGGGAAAAAGUAUUCUCAUCUCUGACCUGUAUUUUUUAAAAUGUUAGACAAGAGCUAUUUGAUGUCACAGACUCAUUUUCCUGAAAACUUAUUAAAUAUUCUUUCAUAUCCCCCAAACAUAAAAAUAAGUGACCACUGUUCCUACUUUAAUUUAUGAGGUUUGUUUUUAAUAAUGUAGUAGCUGAUCUGACUAAAUUGUGUACAGAGAGGAACUUGCUUUAAUCUGUGGGAUUGUGGACUGGUGUGACUUGGAGAAGGUAAGCAGGUGUGUGUGUGCUAGGGUAGGCGUCAGUGGACUUCUAAUAUAUCUUGUGAAGUGUGGUGGCUAGGGUAGAUUAGCUGUGUGCCUCUGGGUUUGGAACCCACCUCUCCAAUCUUCUGUAUUGCUUACUUGGCAUUAAAAUCUGUUAAUGCUGUACUAAGAUAAAUGUGAAGUCUGGGUAAGAUUGCUCUUAGGAAAAAAGUGUAUGUAUAAUAUAAAAUUUAGGCUGUAGGACCUGGCAUUUCCCUUGGUUUAGAAAUUUCAGGAGAACUAUAUCUCAAAAUACCAGAUCUCCUCUCAAGGCUGCAGACAAUCAGGCUGUCAGUCAAUCACCACCUUCGUGGUUUAGAGAACUACCAUUUAGCUCCUGGAGAGGGAAGAGAAGGUCCAUGUUUCUUCAAGAAGCUGUUGGUCCUCUACUUACAUUUUUGGUUUUAGUUUUGUGAUUUUGAUGGCUAAGUUCAAAGUCCCCUGUGGCUCAAAAAGAAAUAGCAGCAUGAAAGGCAAAAAUUAUCAGUGAAAAGCAGCUGUUUCAGAUUCCCACGCACCAUGGCCUGUGCCCCAUUAGCUCAUUCUAGGCACACGCCCCUAGACCUAAGCUCUCCCUGCAUUUCCAGAACCAGUUGGAUAUUAAGGAUUUUUAACAAGAUCUUUAUAUUUGAGUCUUUUUUGUAGAGCUGUAAAACUUUACCUAAUUCUUGGUUUUGCGUCCUCAAUAACUUUUUAUUGCAAUUGCCACCUAUUAAUUGGGUUUUCUUUUGACUGGCUGUUCACCUUCCGCCAGCGGGCAGCCCUUGUCCAUGAGAAUGUGUGGGUGGUGCUGCAGGGCCUGGGGGGCAGCAGGGGCCACAGGAGCUCACGGCUGACAUUGCCAUGUCCCAAUCUCCACAGGGGAAGGGUGAAUGUUUCUCAGUAACUACUCAGCAAAAUAGGGAUUUUCAUAUGUGUAAUCCACCAUUCAUGGGGAAACGCGUUUCAUGAAACACUUGUAAGACACUUGUUUUCCAGUUCUGAGGCAUUCAUGUUUUUACCUUAGGAACGAACUCAAAGGGAAAUGUUUAUUUGACUCUUUUUUUUUUUUUAAUUAUUAUUUUGUUGACCUUCAACUUUCAGUUGAAAGUUACUAUUAAAGCAGCAGUGAUGGGUGCUAUUCCCGGUUCUGCAGUGGUUUACUUUGUCUACUAAGUGGUUUACUUUCAAACCUCAUUACACAUAACGUUACUAAAAGAGUUAUCAUCACACACUAAAAGAUAUUUUACUCUUUUCCAUUAACACUGUUGUAUGAACAAUGUUUUAUGAAAUGUUAAGUUGUCUUUUUGUCCUGUAGAUUGCAGUAGCUGUUAUAUACUUGUUUUAUUGGCAAGUCUUCAGAUCUUUUUUUUUUUUCCUCUAGAAAACCCUCAGACCAUGUGUCAUUCUUCCACAUUCUGAAUAUUAUAAUGCUGUGGCUGUUCCUAUAGAAAGAUUACUUGCAGGUGUGUGUCUUGAAAAUAACCUCUCGUGUUUGUGUGUUUAUGUGGGUUCUAAGAGACAAGAUAAGCUCUGGAAGCUUCAUUGUGUACCUACACGUGACUGUGUAUCUGGGUUCCAUGGGCAGGUGGUAUGGAAUCCUGCUCUUAGAUGGGGUGGCUGAAAGCUAAAGAUUCCUGAACCCCACUUGCUGUUUAUGUACCACAUCUGUACUUCAGAGAGGUGGUAUCUUCUACAACACUGCAUUUCUUGUGGUUGUGCUGUUACUGGUAUAAAGUCAAGUGCCUUCAAUGCUAAAGGCUCAGAAAUUUUUCUUAAACUGAUUUCAUGUCCUAUGCAAGUGUUUUCUACAACCUGCAUAACCAGUACUUUGUAAAACUUGUUUACGCUUCAAUUGUACAUAGUGUUUUUUAAAGAAAUAUAUAGUAUUUUUAUUUAGGUACCUCCAAACUUGAAUUCGUCUGUGUGAAGCAUUGUAAAACGAUAGAUUUCUCUUUUGAGUAUCAUUACGGUUGUACAAAGGUUUCCACUGGUUCUAUUUUUCUACUGUUACUGAUAAGCAUGUAGCACUGACUUUAUCCUACACAUAGUUGGCAUUUCAAAUAAAUGGCUUGUAUAG
rnacentral:lncRNA from 1 species